UCCGGUUUAACACCGGCAGUCUCCAUAGAGUGCCCAACUGAAUGGUGGCAACUAGGGAUAGGGGUUGCGCUCGUUAAGGGACUUAACCCGACAUCUCACGAUACGAGCUGACGACAGCCAUGCAGCACCUGUCUCACUGCCUCCGAAGAGGAAAUCCUAUCUCUAGGACUGUCAGUGGAUGUCAAACCCAGGUAAGGUUCUUCGCGUUGCAUCGAAUUAAACCACAUGCUCCACCGCUUGUGCGGGCCCCCGUCAAUUCCUUUGAGUUUUAACCUUGCGGCCGUACUUCCCAGGCGGGGUACUUAAUGCGUUAGCGUCGGCACUGUAGGGGUCAAUUCCCACAACACCUAGUACCCAUCGUUUACAGCGUGGACUAC
rnacentral:misc_RNA from 1 species